AACUCAAUUCACAUUGUAUGUCUAAAUGUUUAUUGCUUCAGGAGCUCAAUUUGCCUUAGACACGUUUUCUUUUCUUUCUUUUUUUCUUCAGGAAUUGUCAAAACACGGUUGAUGAAAUAAAGGGAGAAGCAGACAGGAGCACCCGCUUAGUGAAGGGGGAAAAGCCAGCUUGCCUCAGAGGGCAGUGAAAACCCAGGGCAAGUCUUCGUGAAACAGAGACAAGAAUCAAUCAAAACAUCACAAGCUAAUUAAUGUCAUUUGGAGCGCUGGGAGCAGCUGUAUCACAGACUGAUGCUGAAGCUGAAGCUCCAAUACUUUGGCCACCUGAUGCAAAGAACUGACUCAUUGGAAAAGACCCUGAUGCUGGGAAAGAUUGAAGGCAGGAGGCUAAGGGGAUGACAGAGGACGAGAUCCUUGGAUGGCAUCACCGACUCGAUGGACAUGAGUUUGAGCAAGCUCCGGGAGUUGAUGAUGGACAGGGAAGCCUGGCAUGCUGCAGUCUGGCAUGCUGGCAUGCUGCAGAGCACUUGGAACUCUGCUCAAUGGGGGGCUGCAAAGAGUCAGACACGACUGAGUGACUGAACUGUACACAGAGGGCAUUUAAACCUAUGGCACUUGAUGAGAUUGUCCAGAAAAGAUACCACAGGGGGGAAAGAGGGCUCAGGAUCUAGCUCUCAGGUAGUGGUUCUCAGACUUAAGCCAGCAUUGGGAUCACCUGGAAGACUUGUCAAAACCAAUCCCCUGGGUCUCACCUUCUCCAGCAAACCGCCCUCCCCGCCCCAACCUCACAACAGAGUUUCUACUUCAUAGAUCUGGGUUGGGGGGGCAAGAAUCUGCAUUUCUUUUUUUUUUUUUAACUUUUUAUUUUGUAUUGGGGUAUAGCCUGUUAACAAUGUUGUGAUAGUUUGAGGUGAACAGUGAAGGGACUCAGCCUUCACAUAUACAUGUAUCCUUUCUCUCCCAAACUCCCCUCGUAUCCAGGCUGCCAUACAACAUUGAGCAGAGUUCCAGGUGCUAUACGGUAGGUCCUUGUUGGUUCUCCAUUUUAAGUAUAGCAGUGUGUACAUGUCCAUACCAAACUCCGUAACUAUCCCUUCCCCCCUUCCUUCCCCCCGGCAAUCAUAAGUUUGAGUUAUGAUUUCUGAUCAGUUCCCAGGAUGCUGAUACUGCUGAUCAGCGAGCAUCACUCUUCUGCCAACUGUGGCCUUGGCUCUGCUCCAGGCACCCUGGCCUCCCCGCCGCUGUUCUGACCCCUCAAACUCCAUCUGUUCCAGGGCCUUUGCGUGGCCCGCUGCCUGGAAUGUAGCUUCCCAGAUAUCAGUGCAAUCAAGUCCAAACCUUUUUCAGGUCCCUGCUCAAAUGUCACCUUCUUAAAGAGACUUUCUGACCAUCUUUUUUUUUUUUUCCCUAGUAAUGAGACAUGGAAGCAAGUUUUCUUUCUUUUUCAUAGUGGUCAUUCAGUUUUUCAAAUGCCAAACUCACUAUGAUCUAUGACCAUCUUUCUUAAGAAAGUAACUCCUCUCACUCACUCUCCUGCUUCUGCUUUUCACCCUCAUCCGUCCCUGUUUUGUUUUGUUUUUUCUCUAGGUUGCCCUUAUCACCUUCUAACAGACUAUAUGACUUAUUUACUUGUGUGUUUUGUUCAUUAUCAGUCCCUCCCAGGAGAGGAGGGAUUAUGUCUUUCUUUCUUUUUUUUUUUGGCUGACUCUCUCAAGCCUAGAACUGUCUGUGGCACAUAUCAAAUGUUCAAUAAAUAUUCAUUAAAGGAUUAAUUUAAUGAAGGAAUAAAGAUUCUUGCCUGUAGAAUUGUAGUUUUAAGAAUUUAAUUCUGGGACUUCCCUGGCAGUCCAGUGGUUAAGACUUUGCUUUCCAAUGCAGGGGGUGCAGGUUUGAUCCCUGAUCAGGGAACUAAGAUCCUGCAUGCCUCCUGGUCAAAAAACCAAAACGUGAAACAGAAGCAAUAUUAUAACAAAUUCAAUGAAGACUUUAAAAAUGGUCCAUAUCAAAAAGAACCUUUAAGAAAAGAAUUUAAUUCCAAUGGAAAUUCUUUAUAACUGGUUUCUUCCAUAUCAAAAAGGAAAUAUGAUCAUGUUGUUCCAUUCUGAGAGAAAAAAAAAAAUCUCUUCUCAUACCUGGGGGUGAAGUCAAAGAUCAUUGAUAUAUUCACCAGUAGGCACUGGCUGGGCUGGGACAUGACAGGAAACACACUCUGAGGUAGUUCCCAUCCUGUUGCCUACCUAGUUAACAACACUCUCUUGCUCUAUGACAAGCACCUGGUUAACAACACUCUCUUGCUCUAUACUAGCCUAUGCAUAUCUCUACCCACUUUAACUGUAACCAUUUCUGCAUUUGUCUGCAUGCCUCACUCAGGAUUUCCUCCAAGGUAGGAAUCAUGGUGGUGCUUAUUUUUUGUUUUUAUUUUAUAUGAAAUCCUCCAACUUUGUUCAUCUGUAUACAGUAUAUUUAAUGUUGCUUUAUCACUGUUUUUUGGCUAAGCAUUAUGAUCAUUAUCCAGUAGAUUUUUGAAGUGAAUCCAUUCAGCUAAUAAAAAACAGAAGAAGCAUCUGUGAUGGUAGGAAACAGCAUUUGAUCAGUGUUUAUAUGCAAUUCCCUAUAAUUGUUUUAAUAAAAGUGGCCUAAAUUAUAGUCAAUCUGAAGCUAUAAAUGAGCUCUGUCGCUCAUAAAUGAGCCAGGGCAAGUUGUGCACUGUGUAUGCACUGUUGGCAGUGUGGAACUUCUGCACUGCGUUCUGAAGAUGCCUAAAAGCAUUCAUGGAGGCCUACUGAAAACACUUAAUAAUCCUGCAGCUGUAAAUUCUAUCUUGAAAUGGAUAUUUUUCCAUCCCUCCUCUCAGUCUCUACUUAGUAAACUCUAAACCAUUUUGAUGUUGACUUUCCAAAACACAGGGUUCUUCCUUGGUUUAUAUUCUUUUAUAUUCUUCUUUAAUGGGGUCUUGGGAAGACCCUUAAGGGUGCUUUCUUGGAUUCCACCCUCUUUCUCACUCUAUCAAAAGUGCAAAAUAAGGAAAUAAACACUGUGGUCUGAAGAGCUGCUCUCAGGCAGAGCUGAGGAUGUGAAAGUCACUCAGUCAUGUCCAACUCUUUGUGAGCUCAUGAACUAAACAGUCCAUGGAAUACUCCAGGCCAGAAUAGUGGAGUGUAUAGCCAUUCCCUUCUCCAGGGGAUCUUCCCAACCCAGGGAUCAAAUCCAGGUCUUCCACAUUGCAGGCAGAUUCUUUACCAGCUGAGCUACCAGGGGAGCCUGAGGUAAGGAUCCUUGAGGGAAAUUUUGGUCUUGAGUUCUCAGUAGAAGAGUGGAUACAGCAGAGAGAAAGUAAAGUACCUUUAGAAUCCUCAGAUGAUGCCUUCUGUGCUAUUUGCAAAGAAAAUUCCCUUGGAAAUGGUUAUAACCUAAACUGGGAUCAGACAAUAAAAAUAAUAAUGGCUAUUAUUUAUUGAAUGGCACCAGGAACAUUAUGUGAAUCAUCUUUAAUUCCUGCAGCAACACUGUAAGUAGGUGUUGAGUCCAGCCCCAAGGCCACAGGUGGGAGGCCUUGCCCCAAGACCACAGAAGUGGAGCCCAGAACCAAGGCCACCUCUGAAAGUGUCUGAGCCUUGGUAACUGUUGCCAAAAGCCCUCUUGACCAUUGCCAGCAGGCUUCCUGACCCCAAACUAGGCAAAAAUGCCCACCCCAGUAGUCACUCUAUGGCACCCUAACCAAUCACCUACUACAAACCUUCCAGCAGGAAUUUUCUUUGUCUUGAGGUUAUAAAAAUUGGUUAUUAACCCACAAAAAAUGGUUGACUCUCCUUGGUCUGUCAGGAGGUUGACCCACUGCACUCUCAGU